UACGAAGGGGGCUAGCGUUGCUCGGAAUCACUGGGCGUAAAGCGCACGUAGGCCGAUUGUUAAGUCAGGGGUGAAAUCCUGGAGCUCAACUCCAGAACUGCCCUUGAUACUGACGGUCUCGAGUCCGGGAGGGGAUGGUGGAAUUCCCAGUGUAGCGGUGAAAUGCGUAGAUAUUGGGAAGAACACCGGUGGCGAAGGCGGCCAUCUGGACCGGUACUGACGCUGAGGCGCGAAAGCCAGGGGAGCGAAUGGG
rnacentral:rRNA from 1 species